GGGUCAAUGAUGAAAACUUAUUGUCUUGAAGAGAGAUGAUAACCUGAAAAUCAUGAUCAAUAGGAUUAUGAUGAAGAUAGACCU
ensembl:snoRNA SNORD115 Small nucleolar RNA SNORD115